rnacentral:rRNA from 1 species
UGGGGAAUUUUGGACAAUGGGCGAAAGCCUGAUCCAGCAAUGCCGCGUGUGUGAAGAAGGCCUUCGGGUUGUAAAGCACUUUUGUCCGGAAAGAAAUCCUUGGCUCUAAUACAGUCGGGGGAUGACGGUACCGGAAGAAUAAGCACCGGCUAACUACGUGCCAGCAGCCGCGGUAAUACGUAGGGUGCAAGCGUUAAUCGGAAUUACUGGGCGUAAAGCGUGCGCAGGCGGUUUGCUAAGACCGAUGUGAAAUCCCCGGGCUCAACCUGGGAACUACAUUGGUGACUGGCAGGCUAGAGUAUGGCAGAGGGGGGUAGAAUUCCACGUGUAGCAGUGAAAUGCGUAGAGAUGUGGAGGAAUACCGAUGGCGAAGGCAGCCCCCUGGGCCAAUACUGACGCUCAUGCACGAAAGCGUGGGGAGCAAACAGGAUUAGAUACCCUGGUAGUCCACGCCCUAAAACGAUGUCAACUAGUUGUUGGGGAUUCAUUUCCUUAGUAACGUAGCUAACGCGUGAAGUUGACCGCCUGGGGAGUACGGUCGCAAGAUUAAAACUCAAAUGAAUUGACGGGGUCAUAGCUGUUUCCU